UAUAAAGUGGCGAACGGCUGAGUAACACGUGGGCAACCUGCCCUUUGCACUGGGAUAGCCUCGGGAAACCGAGGUUAAUACCGGAUACUCCAUAUUUGUCGCAUGGCGAAUAUGGGAAAGCUCCGGCGGCAAAGGAUGGGCCCGCGGCCUGUUAGCUAGUUGGUGGGGUAGUGGCCUACCAAGGCAAUGAUGGGUAGCCGGGUUGAGAGACCGACCGGCCAGAUUGGGACUGAGACACGGCCCAGACUCCUACGGGAGGCAGCACA
rnacentral:rRNA from 1 species